rnacentral:miRNA from 1 species
AAAUGCUGCAGUAGUAGGGAUC